AUUCCCGAACUCGGAACGAUCUCGGCCAUCGUGCCGCCGACCGUGAUUCUGACCUCGAACGGCGAACGCGACCUCGGCGACGCCCUCAAGCGGCGCUGCCUUCAUCUUCACAUCGGAUUUCCCGAUCAGAAGCUCGAAGAGCGCAUUAUCGAAGGCCGCGUUCCAGGAAUCUCGCAAUCCCUGCGCAAGCAGAUCGUUAGUUUCAUCAAUGAAGUCCGCACGCUCGAUCUGAAAAAGCUGCCCUCGGUCAGCGAGACCAUCGACUGGGCA
rnacentral:misc_RNA from 1 species